rnacentral:rRNA from 1 species
AACGAACGCUGGCGGCAGGCCUAACACAUGCAAGUCGAACGCCCUAGCAAUAGGGAGUGGCAGACGGGUGAGUAACGCGUGGGAAUAUCCCCCUCAGUACGGAAUAGCCCAGGGAAACUUGGAGUAAUACCGUAUACGUCCGUGAGGAGAAAGAUUUAUCGCUGAGGGAUUAGCCCGCGUAGGAUUAGCUAGUUGGUGAGGUAACGGCUCACCAAGGCGACGAUCCUUAGCUGGUCUGAGAGGACGAUCAGCCACACUGGGACUGAGACACGGCCCAGACUCCUACGGGAGGCAGCAGUGGGGAAUAUUGGACAAUGGGCGCAAGCCUGAUCCAGCCAUGCCGCGUGAGUGACGAAGGCCUUAGGGUUGUAAAGCUCUUUUGGCGGGGACGAUAAUGACGGUACCCGCAGAAUAAGCCCCGGCUAACUUCGUGCCAGCCGCCGCGGUAAAAC